GACGAACGCUGGCGGCGUGCCUAAUACAUGCAAGUAGAACGCUGAAGGAGGAGCUUGCUUCUCUGGAUGAGUUGCGAACGGGUGAGUAACGCGUAGGUAACCUGCCUGGUAGCGGGGGAUAACUAUUGGAAACGAUAGCUAAUACCGCAUAAUAGUAGAUGUUGCAUGACAUUUGCUUAAAAGGUGCAAUUGCAUCACUACCAGAUGGACCUGCGUUGUAUUAGCUAGUUGGUGGGGUAACGGCUCACCAAGGCGACGAUACAUAGCCGACCUGAGAGGGUGAUCGGCCACACUGGGACUGAGACACGGCCCAGACUCCUACGGGAGGCAGCAGUAGGGAAUCUUCGGCAAUGGACGGAAGUCUGACCGAGCAACGCCGCGUGAGUGAAGAAGGUUUUCGGAUCGUAAAGCUCUGUUGUAAGAGAAGAACGAGUGUGAGAGUGGAAAGUUCACACUGUGACGGGAUCUUACCAGAAAGGGACGGCGAACUACGU
rnacentral:rRNA from 1 species